GGCUAGUCCAAAGGUAGGGCGCUAACUCAAUUGAUUGUUUACAGUUACAGAGUUACAGAUUGAACUCCUUGUUCUACUUUUUCCCCCUUUCUCACUACUGUACUUGACUAGUCUUAA
ensembl:misc_RNA Y_RNA Y RNA